rnacentral:lncRNA from 1 species
UCAGCUUCAGCCCAGUCACUGCACCAUCCGCACUGAAAAAAAGAAGAUCAGACCCGAUUAAUGUAGGAUAUUCUGCAGUGGUUGCAAUGUCGACCGGUACACCGAUGCUGGAAUGGCACGCGGCCUUUAUAUUCUACGUCACGUAGUAUUGUAUGAGUUCUUUUUUCCACGAUCCUGAUCAGGCGAAAGAAACGCGACACCAGACGCCGGAACGCACACCGAACAAUCAAACCAGCCCACAAGAUCGGGUCAUAAAGCAGCCCGAUCAACCCGAGACAGAGUCCUACUAACCUAGGUUUAGGCCAACUCCAUCUCGUUCAGGGACCUGAACGCUGUCAGGCAAAACAUGACGACAACUCCUGAUAGGGUUCAGGUCCCUGGCCUCAAUUUGCAGCAAGAGAUAGGCAGCUCAAUUCGCUAUACUACAUAAAAAGCGGAAUUUGUUCUUUGGAAGUGAUUGCCAUGGUGAUUGCACUGCUCAUCUCAAAUAAAUUGUUUUAAGAUCAAACGACGACAAUUUAAUUAUUAUUAUUAUAUUAUAAAUUAGGGCUGCAAACAAUGGCGAAUCGACCAGCCAAAAUGUAAACAAUCUACGUUUAUUUACGAGACGCAAACGUAACUGCUCCAAAGAACAAAUUCCGCAUUAUAUAUUAAUAAUGUGGAACUGUCUAGCAGAAGUGGAAAGUUAAAGACUUUCAGAAAUUCUUGGACCAUUUUCAUUUUUUUUUUAUUAUACAAACAAUUUUAAAUUAAAAUCCAAAAAAUGAACUUUGCAUAAAAAUUAAUUCUACGCACGAUAAAAAUUUUUCUAAAUAAAAAAAAAAUUCAAACACCUUAAUGUAACAGUUCAAAAGGGGUAGUCCCAUAAGAGCCUACGUUAAAGUAGGCCCUCUAGUUACACACCCGGCCAGAGUUGCCAAAAUAGACGAUUCCAAUUUUUGUCCCACUUUCGCCCUCUCGAGUACGCGUACCAUAUAACUCCUAUACCAUGGUAUUUUGGUUUGGUUUCAAAUACAAGAAAAUUCAGGCUCAUCUCAUAUGUCUGCUUAACAAGUUUGCCCUUACUGGGGAGGAAGAACUCUUCAAAAUUGAAACAAAUCCUGUGACUGAUUUGCACUACACAGAAUGAUUUCCAGUGAAAAAGCUUCGUCACGUGUUAUGACGUGUGUCGUGGUGUAGUAACAAUUUUGCUGAAUCUUGUUCUAACUUAUAACUAGAUCUUUUCGGGCAGUAAACCUAAUGAUUAAACUUUGUUUUACUGUUUCUCGGUAAGUAUAUUCCAAACGUUACACAAUGUAGUACUUGCAACCAUUGCCGUGCAGUUCCACAGAAAUGUCUGUGUUCAAUCAGGAAAAUGCGGCGCCAACAAAUACACCUGAAACAACACUAACACCAACAGCACGAACUUUUUGAACCUACGUCGUCUGUAAGUAACAAUUCAUUGCAGACUAAAUUAACUUCAGGAGAAACGGAAAGAGAAAAAAUUAAAAUUAUACGGCCCCCGUAUGAUUUUAAUUUUUUCUCUACCCGCAUAAUACGGGUCAAGAGACAUUAUGUGCAAUGCUGAUAAAUUUACGUAGAAUGUAUUUCUGUAUGCCUAGAUAAAUGCAAGCUCUUUCAAGCAGAACAACUAUAGGGCAUACAGCAUAUGUCUCUAGCCCAGUUACCAUUCUCAAAAAUACACAAUGCUAAAAAUUCCUGAUGAAGUCAUUCGUACAAGCAUGGGGGGAAUAUUUGAAGAACAAAUUAGCUGAUAGCUCUCAUGGGGGAAAAAGAAUGUUGCAUUGAUUUUCUGAUAUUAUUCAGGCUUAUUAAAAAUUCUGUGAAAACAAAACGACAAGUCAUUCACAUUCCGUUGUACGCAGGCCCACCGCCACCCUCAGGGGCGACCCAAUUGAUGUUCUGACUGGGGUCCUUGAUAUCACAUGUCUUACAGUGAAUACAAUUUUGAGCACUUA